rnacentral:rRNA from 1 species
GUACACUCCUGCGGGAGGCAGCAGUGGGGAAUUUUGGACAAUGGGCGAAAGCCUGAUCCAGCAAUGCCGCGUGAGUGAAGAAGGCCUUCGGGUUGUAAAGCUCUUUUGUCAGGGAAGAAACGGUGAAAGCUAAUAUCUUUUGCUAAUGACGGUACCUGAAGAAUAAGCACCGGCUAACUACGUGCCAGCAGCCGCGGUAAUACGUAGGGUGCAAGCGUUAAUCGGAAUUACUGGGCGUAAAGCGUGCGCAGGCGGUUUUGUAAGUCUGAUGUGAAAUCCCCGGGCUCAACCUGGGGAUUGCAUUGGAGACUGCAAGGCUAGAAUCUGGCAGAGGGGGGUAGAAUUCCACGUGUAGCAGUGAAAUGCGUAGAUAUGUGGAGGAACACCGAUGGCGAAGGCAGCCCCCUGGGUCAAGAUUGACGCUCAUGCACGAAAGCGUGGGGAGCAAACAGGAUUAGAUACCCCAGUAGUCCCA